rnacentral:rRNA from 1 species
UACGUAGGGGGCUAGCGUUGUCCGGAAUCAUUGGGCGUAAAGCGCGUGUAGGCGGCCCGGUAAGUCCGCUGUGAAAGUCGGGGGCUCAACCCUCGGAUGCCGGUGGAUACUGUCGGGCUUGAGUACGGAAGAGGCGAGUGGAAUUCCUGGUGUAGCGGUGAAAUGCGCAGAUAUCAGGAGGAACACCAAUUGCGAAGGCAGCUCGCUGGGACGUUACUGACGCUGAGACGCGAAAGCGUGGGGAGCAAACGGG